UACGUAGGGUGCGAGCGUUAAUCGGAAUUACUGGGCGUAAAGCGUGCGCAGGCGGUUUUGUAAGCCAGAUGUGAAAUCCCCGGGCUCAACCUGGGAAUGGCAUUUGGGACUGCAAGGCUGGAGUGCGGCAGAGGAGACUGGAAUUCCUGGUGUAGCAGUGAAAUGCGUAGAUAUCGGGAAGAACACCCGUGGCGAAGGCGGCUCUCUGGGACGGUACUGACGCUGAGACGCGAAAGCGUGGGGAGCGAACAGG
rnacentral:rRNA from 1 species